rnacentral:lncRNA from 1 species
CAUCACUUGCCAACAACUAUAUAGAACCCAUGAUUAAGAUUAUGAUUUUUCAGUUAUUAAAUGUCUACACUGAAGGAAUUGAUUUGUUUAUGUGCAUCAGAGGAGAUGUAUCUAAAAGAGUGCCUAGAGAUGUGCAGACAUGUCUAUGGGCAGGAAUGAGGAGGAUGCAACUUGGAUUCCAGGAAGAAAAAGAAUUAUAGGAACAAUGGCAUUUGGAGAUGAAGGCAUUUGGAAAGAGAACACAGAAAAUAUAGCCACCGUACCUUGGGAACUGACGUCAUACUUUUCAGCAGAGAGCGAUUUAAUAUCAAGGGUGAC